rnacentral:rRNA from 1 species
UUUUAUGGAGAGUUUGAUCCUGGCUCAGAGUGAACGCUGGCGGCGUGCCUAAUACAUGCAAGUCGAACGAUGAAGCUUCUAGCUUGCUAGAAGUGGAUUAGUGGCGCACGGGUGAGUAAGGUAUAGUUAAUCUGCCCUACACAAGAGGACAACAGUUGGAAACGACUGCUAAUACUCUAUACUCCUGCUUAACACAAGUUGAGUAGGGAAAGUUUUUCGGUGUAGGAUGAGACUAUAUAGUAUCAGCUAGUUGGUAAGGUAAUGGCUUACCAAGGCUAUGACGCUUAACUGGUCUGAGAGGAUGAUCAGUCACACUGGAACUGAGACACGGUCCAGACUCCUACGGGAGGCAGCAGUAGGGAAUAUUGCGCAAUGGGGGAAACCCUGACGCAGCAACGCCGCGUGGAGGAUGACACUUUUCGGAGCGUAAAC